ensembl:lncRNA
AACAUGUAAGACCAACUCCAUUUGCCAGGACAAAGGGAAUUUCUUCCGCUUCACUCAAGUUCGUUAUCUACAGUUUCACUUGUAAUUGCUCUGCAUGUGAUGUGGGACUCUUUCUCCAUCUGCCACUAGAUGGUAUUGCACCAGCAGCGCUUCCCGGAUGCUCUGCACCCUCGCUGAGACGAAGCCUCUGGAUGCCAGCAAGUUUAGAGGGCUCCGUCUGCACAGGCUCCGUUUUCCAUCCAAAUUUUGUAAUGCGCUCCCUGCUACACAUGGGCCCAAAUGUACUGAGUUCUGCAGACACACGAUGGUUUGCCUUGUUGAGUUGCUUUUAAUUUUGUGGUCAGACUGCAAGGUGAUUCACAGGGAGCAGAGAGAGGGGCUGCGGCACAAACAAAGCUGAAAGAAAGGGAAAUGCUCCAUGCUCUUGGGAGCAAGUGGCCAGAGUUAGCAUGCUAGCAGGCUUUCUCACUGCUUUGCCAUUUGCUGGACAAAUGAGAAUCCCUUCACCAUCAGGCAGUGCUCUCUGUAGAGUACCUUGCUAGGACCACUGGUAUGUAGACCACAUACCAGGAAAGACCGUAUGUACUUUGUGUUUUAUACUCUUCAAGCAUCCAGUGAUGAUUAUCAUGUAGGCUCAUGUGCUAGAAUAAACCAAUCUUUAGUUGCAGCUUCUUGUGCUUGCAGCACCAUCUCUGCUUCAGAACAAUUUUUUAUUUACUCUAUAAUCCAGAACUCUGUGGUCUGCUAGCAAUUUCAGACUACUCAAUGUAUGAAAACCGAAGAGCUCAGGCAGGACCUUGUAAGUUCUUGAUCUUUUAAAAGAACUGAAAGAAAAAAUGUAAACAAAAGGCUAUUUUUUUCACAGUUGCAAAAAUUUUUGAAUACUGCUAUAUUUCCCUUAAGCGCUCAUGAAAGAAAAGUACUUAAACAUGCAGGAAACUAUUCAGCAAAACUAUUUUUCAUCUAGUAAAUGAGCGAAUCAGUGUGCUGAGAUAUGAGGUAGCUCAGUAUUAAAAAUAAAUGACUUGGGCUGUUAGGCCUUGAGUUACUUGCUGGCCUUUCAUGAUUGAUAGCAUCUCUGUGGUAAGUUUAUGUGAAAUCAUUCUACUUUUAUAUUUCCUUGUUUUGUUGCUAAAUUAUCUUAUGUAACUGCUGCUCCAGGGAAACAAACAGGAAAGUCAAAGCAGAAGUGGAAAGAACACCACGUAUCUACUGAUUAAAUGCUCAUGGCACCUACAUUCACAUUUUUCAGUUGUCUGACAUAUCUUAACUCUGGACGGAUGUUUUUGCCAAAUCACUUUUGUUCAUUAGGAAAUCUAUAAACACAUCCUGCUUC